rnacentral:rRNA from 1 species
GACGUAGGGCGCGAGCGUUGUCCGGAUUUAUUGGGCGUAAAGAGCUCGUAGGCGGCUUGUCGCGUCGUCUGUGAAAUCCCGCGGCUCAACCGCGGGUCUGCAGUCGAUACGGGCAGGCUAGAGUUCGGUAGGGGAGACUGGAAUUCCUGGUGUAGCGGUGAAAUGCGCAGAUAUCAGGAGGAACACCGGUGGUGUAGACGGCUCACUGGACCGUAAACUGACGCUGAGACACGAAAGCGUGGGUAGCAAACAGG